rnacentral:rRNA from 1 species
UACGUAGGGGGCUAGCGUUGUCCGGAUUUAUUGGGCGUAAAGAGCGUGUAGGCGGCCAGGUAGGUCUGCUGUGAAAACUCGAGGCUCAACCUCGAGACGUCGGCGGAAACCAUCUGGCUAGAGUCCGGAAGAGGAGAGUGGAAUUCCUGGUGUAGCGGUGAAAUGCGCAGAUAUCAGGAAGAACACCCGUGGCGAAGGCAGCUCGCUGGGACGUCACUGACGCUGAGACGCGAAAGCGUGGGGAGCAAACAGG